rnacentral:rRNA from 1 species
UACGAAGGGGGCUAGCGUUGCUCGGAAUUACUGGGCGUAAAGCGCACGUAGGCGGCUCUUUAAGUCGGAGGUGAAAUCCUGGAGCUCAACUCCAGAACUGCCUUCGAUACUGUAGAGCUUGAGUUCGGGAGAGGUGAGUGGAACUGCGAGUGUAGAGGUGAAAUUCGUAGAUAUUCGCAAGAACACCAGUGGCGAAGGCGGCUCACUGGCCCGAUACUGACGCUGAGGCGCGAAAGCUAGGGGAGCAAACGGG